UACGUAGGGAGCGAGCGUUGUCCGGAUUCAUUGGGCGUAAAGAGCUCGUAGGCGGUUUGUUGCGUCUAUCGUGAAAACCUGCAGCUUAACUGUGGGCUUGCGGUGGAUACGGGCAGACUUGAGUUCGGUAGGGGAGACUGGAAUUCCUGGUGUAGCGGUGAAAUGCGCAGAUAUCAGGAGGAACACCGGUGGCGAAGGCGGGUCUCUGGGCCGAUACUGACGCUGAGGAGCGAAAGCGUGGGGAGCAAACAGG
rnacentral:rRNA from 1 species